CCUACGGGUGGCAGCAGUGGGGAAUAUUGGACAAUGGGCGAAAGCCUGAUCCAGCCAUGCCGCGUGUGUGAAGAAGGCCUUCGGGUUGUAAAGCACUUUCAGUGGGGAAGAAAGCCUUGGGGCUAAUACCCUCGAGGAAGGACAUCACCCACAGAAGGAGCACCGGCUAACUCCGUGCCAGCAGCCGCGGUAAUACGGAGGGUGCGAGCGUUAAUCGGAAUUACUGGGCGUAAAGCGCGCGUAGGCGGUCUGAUAAGCCGGUUGUGAAAGCCCCGGGCUCAACCUGGGAACGGCAUCCGGAACUGUCAGGCUAGAGUGCAGGAGAGGAAGGUAGAAUUCCCGGUGUAGCGGUGAAAUGCGUAGAGAUCGGGAGGAAUACCAGUGGCGAAGGCGGCCUUCUGGACUGACACUGACGCUGAGGUGCGAAAGCGUGGGUAGCAAACAGGAUUAGAUACCCCUGUAGUC
rnacentral:rRNA from 1 species